CCUAGUACGAGAGGACCGGAGUGGACGAACCCCUGGUGUUUGGGUUGUCAUGCCAAUGGCAUUGCCCAGUAGCUACGUUCGGACAGGAUAACCGCUGAAAGCAUCUAAGCGGGAAGCCUCCUUCAAGAUUAAUUUUCCCUGGGAGUUUAACUCCCCUGAAGGGCCGUUCAAGACUAGGACGUUGAUAGGUUGGGUGUGGAAGCGCUGUGAGGCGUUGAGCUAACCAAUACUAAUUGCCCGUGAGGCUUGACCAU
rnacentral:rRNA from 1 species